GACUUCGUGGUGUAACGGUCAGCGCACUCGGCGCGUACUCGAGAGGUCCGAGGUUCGAGUCCUGGCGAGGGCA
rnacentral:tRNA from 1 species